CAAAUAAAUAAAAACUUUCAACAACGGAUCUCUUGGUUCUGGCAUCGAUGAAGAACGCAGCGAAAUGCGAUAAGUAAUGUGAAUUGCAGAAUUCAGUGAAUCAUCGAAUCUUUGAACGCACAUUGCGCCCGCCAGUAUUCUGGCGGGCAUGCCUGUCUGAGCGUCAUUUCAACCCUC
rnacentral:rRNA from 1 species